rnacentral:lncRNA from 1 species
AUGACUGCUGUUGUACUCCAAAAUUUAAUCAGCAGAGUAGCGUGGCUUAAUUUCUCAGAUUCGCUCCCUUGCCUAUUUGUAGCAGGCUAUCAGCUACUACGUGGAGCAGAUGUUAGCAUGUCCACAUCACCAGCUCCCAGGAGGCAGAGCACAGUAAAAAGAAGCAUGGGUUGGCUAAUAGAGAACAAAAUGUUCCAGACAGGUGAAGUGAGAGAGAUAUACAGAAAUACAAGUUGGAACUGCAGAACAUCCAAGGUUCAGAGGCUAUCCCAUCCGUGCCUGUUUGAUGCCCUGAGAAGAAUUAUCUGCCACGUGUGACACAGACUGAUGCGAAACCCCCAUAAAGCCAUUGGAUAUUUCACAAGAAGGGAAGUUUGUUUUUCUCUCCGUCUGCACUUUCUUUUAGACCGAGUCAUUGAUUACACAGGGGACAUAAGCAGUUGAUGAAAAGGUAAAGCAAGGUAAAGCUUGUUGGAAAGUCACUGUAUUUUUUGCAGCAUUCUAGGAUUUAUGACUUCAGCCUGCAGACCAUAACAAGAGGCAGAUUCUUUCUGGUUUAUGUGUGUAGCAUGUCACACAUUACCAACAAACAGCAUGCAGUAAAGCACACACAAGACAAUGAGUCACUGCCGUUUUGCAGCCAGCGGAAUUUAGAGCAACAGAGCUUAAAAAUGAAUAGCCAUUAUUUCUCCCUGUCACAGAGUCUUCUUAGAAGUUUGGAGGGAUUGGGGACUGAAGGAGGGAAUCACUGAUGUAAGAUUUUAUUAUUGUCCAAUGUAAAUAUUGCAUUAGAAUUGGCAUAGGUUUGCUUCUUUGUUUAUGAAUGAUUAAAGUCCUCUUUUUUUUAAAGCCAUA